CCCUGUGGUACAUUCUUCUGCCAUGGUGUUUGUUAUGUCAACAUUGAACAAUAUACUUUACUUUCUCUUAAACUAGUAAGACCUUUGGCCGUCUGUUGCCUAAACAUAUUUAAGUCCACAAGAAAGGUUUAAUAUAUCAUAGCCACAAGAUAUAGCCUAUGUUGUCUCAGUUUGUAAGCUUAUAUUAUUUUCUCAGUCCAUUUUACAAACAUAAGUUGGAAGUUGGUCCUUUGCUUCUUUAAUUUAAAUCUAAAUUAGAGGUGGUGAAACAAGGGAUAUUGCCUACUUCCUAAGAUUUUUAUUGCAAAGGAAUAUAAAGGCAUUGGAGGUAGGAGAAAUUCAGAGGCGGGGUGUGGGAGAAGAGAUGGAGUAUUGAAUAGAAUGAGCGAGCAUAUUAGGAGUCUGACCAAGAAUCUGCAGAACAAGAUGGUUGUUCUAACCCUCCCUCAUGGAGAUCAAAGAGACUUGGAAUUCUGUUGCUCUGGUGAUGUGCUACUAAUGUGAAAAGAGUUUGAUCAUGGUUAUCAGGGGACUUUGGAAAUAGUUUUUGGAUUCACUGACUAAUGGGUAAAGUCUGUUCAUGUAGUACUGUGAUGGUCCUUCUGCCAGGAGUGAUGGUCCUUCUGCCAGGAGAGAAAAAGUGUACCAUCUCAGAACUGGAAAGAACACUUCAGGUAGAUAUCAAUGAUUUUGCCUGCCUGAUGUGACUGGAACAGGAUUUUGUACAGUGAUGGCCAUGCCUAGAAGAGGCCAAGAAGACCAAGAUCGGAGUAGAUACAUGCUCCUGGCUAUCAUUUCUAUGCUAACCUCAUUCCAGUCCUUGGACGCAGGCAAGCUUUAUUUGAAAUUUCCUUGCUGCAGAAGCAAUGAUUUAAGGUUCUUUUUAGAUGGUCUUUUCUUCCUUCAGUAUCAAUUGAGAAAAAAAAAAAGAGUCUUUCCAUCAGUUGGGUAUUUCCUUGAUAUUUGAGCAGACAAUUAACAUGAAAUUCCUGAAUGCCAAAUAUGUAAUUUGGAAUAAGAUAUUAAAGAGGAUUUCAACAGUGUCAUAACUGUUGAAUUUCAGUGUAACUGUUUCCAUGUGUGCCUACUGAUGAAUCAACCUAUAUUCACUUGUUUCAUUAAAAGCAUUUUUUUUUUCUUUUCACAGUUGUUUUGUUUUUGUAUUACAUUUGUGUUUCUCCUCAUCAUACCACAUAAAAUCUCCUAUUUCCCAAGAGAGCUCAUGAAUGAGAAAGAAGAAGGUGCAAAGCCAAGAAGGGUUGAAUACAGUCAGUUGGAUACAGCGCCAGGACUCUCCUCCAGGGAAGGGCUAGCAAGGGUGGAGUGCACAGUAGGAGCAAAAAGUUGCUGAAUCACACAGGCGCUUUUGUUCCCACACUGGGAUAAGAAAAUCUCGGCAGAGAGAAGAAAGUUUGUUUGUGAGAGUCUUUCCCGGGGUCGCUGGGAUGUCUAAACCACUCCCUGUAGUGGUUUACACUCACAGCAACACGACAUCUGGCAACUGGACUCUUAAAAAUUCUUCUCUUUGACUCCUGCCAUGACUGCUCCAUCCAGAGCAUUUCACGAGUGGUUUGUCGUAUGUACCAGGCAAUUUUUUUUUUUUUUUUUUUUUAGACAUAAGGAUUGAUUUAUGAGUCCCUGCUCUAUGGAGCUUACAACCUAGUAGAAGCUGAGAAGUGGAGAAGACAAGCAUUCAUCAAAGAAGCCAAUAAACAAAUUUGAUGAUUUCUGAUGGUAUUUACAAAGAAAUAGAUCUGGAAUUAUGUCUGAGAAAGAUGAAGGUAUCAGGAUCCAUCCACUAUUUUCUAAGAAGAAACAACAGUAAAAAGCCAGGAAAUCAAACCUACCUAUGCAGAUGGCUGUAUUAAACGUCCAACCAGCUAUAUGCCAGCAUCAGAGCAAGAAGAAGAUAAACUGCUACUGAUUUCCCCCAGAGUAAACCUCUUUUAUCUCAAAGAGCUGAUUUGCCAGUGGGGUUGAGUAAACCUUGGAGUUGCAACACAGAUGAGGCACAAAGUUCACCACCAACGUAAAACAGCCAACCCAGUUCUGCUUUUUAAUGUCUUCUAAACUGACGGAACUGAGCAAUAUAAACAAGGGUGAGGCAAUAGCCUCAGGGGAAUAAGAGCCGUGUUAUAUUGACAACUAAUGAGUGAACAACUAUUUUAUCAUCCUUAUGUGCAGAAUCCAAUUUUGUUUAUAUGUCUCCAAAGUUUAUUGGGAAAUACGGGACAAGAAGAGAAAAGCUAUGUGGAAAUUAUAAGAGAGACAUUCAUUGUUUAUUUCUUGCUUGGUCAAAUGAUUCAUGGGCUUACAGAAUUAGAAAAACCCUUUCGAGAGCAACAAGUUCAAUUUCCUUGUUUACUUAUGUCCUCAAAUACUGGUAAAUUAAAUGGCGAUAUGGUCUCAUGCAGAGAGCUUAGAGGCUUUGGGUUCAAGGCUCUCACUUUGUACAAUAAGAGAUAAAAAUUCCUAGUUUAGAGGUUGUUAUGAAGUCUGAGAGCAGAGUUCCCAAAUGGCCACUUAAUGAGUUACCUUCUCUCCUUUGACCAGAGUCACUUGGUCAAUUAGUCACAGAGGAGGGACUAGACCUCUUAAUUCCUUGUCUCACCUCUGCCCAUUGUUAUCUCAGUGUAUGUAGGAUUAGAUUCUUGAAAUCUCCCAAAGAACUCCAAAAACAUCUUUUCAGUUAGUUGUCUUCAGUGGCCCCUCCAGCAAGUUUACCAGAGCUGCUAAUAAUUAACCAAAGGGAGUGACUGGAUGGAAACUUUUUCAGGACUCUCCAGAGUGAACCUUGCCAAAAAUGGUGUGGGAGGAAGCCAGAACAGGGCAGGGAAGGGGAGGUCGGGACCCUGCAAAAACACAACGUGUGCAACUGAAGGUCUUAGCUUUUGGACAGACUGAGUUGUGUGACUCAAUGGAGCUUCAUUUGUGUUAUUUACAGAGUGAAGAUCUAGUUCAGGGUCCAAAUUCACAGCAGUGGGACCCACGUUCUGGAUUUCCUCAGUAGCUUUUACUUGAUGCAAUAAAUUAGUAACUCCUUUCUGUAGUCCUCUUUUAACUUGAUCUUCCUGGGGAGACUCACACAGUCAAUAUGGAAAGGACAUGGAGUAGAGACUCAUGGUAUUUGAACAUAAAGCACUUUGUUGUUGACGCUCUGGUUCUUGGCAUGUCUUCAUGAAAGCUGGUCAUCAAAAAGUGCGAAUCAAAGAAUUAGAUAUGAAAAUAGAAAACUCACAACCCCUAUCUUCUGUCUAAAACAUUAGUGUGGGAUAUUUGCUGCCUGCUGGUGUAAGGCUGCUAAUUAAAGACUGCUUUUGUGGUCUUUUCCUUGUUUGCUUUUAUGGACAAGUUCAGGUCAGGUAGAAUUGCGGUGUCAUUGAAACUCCCCUUUUCCCAGGAGGGGUCAGAAUCUCACCCCAUGGUGGUAUCCAAGGAAGGCCACACAAUUUUAUUUUAUUUAUUUAUUUAUUUUUUAAAUUUUUCACCUUGUUUCAGAAUAAGAGGUCAAAAUGCACUAGGGGCCAAACAAAUUGUUAGCUAGCCCCAACUACCAAUCCAGUCUGUCGUGGCCACCAGCAAAUCCUCAGGAGCUAAAGUUAUGCAGAAGGUGUUCACUGCCUUCUUUCUAAACACAUGAGCGUCAGCAAGGCUAUGAGAAGGGCGGUUGUCCUUGACUUAGAUGAAAUCUCGCCAACUCUGGCUAGUUGGGUAGACCAAGCUUUAUACAUGGUAUCCUGUUAAAUUCUAUCUUCUAGACGCAGACACCACAGGGGGAAAUCAAGAUCACAAAAUAAGCAAAUAAAACCAUUUUAUUUUAAUUUUUCUAACAUUCCAUUUCUAAAUUAAUGAAGGAAUAAAAUUUGAAUCUCCUCUUGUUGAGAAUAAGGAUAUUAACAUCGCCUGAGUCAGGCUGUUGCGAGGAUUAAUGAGUCUGUACAUGUUUAGAACUGCCUGCCAAGGGCAAGGGCUCAAUAAACCCUAGGUAUUUAUAUUGAUGUUGUCAUGGUUUGAGUUUGGUUUUAGAGUAGAUUUUCAAUCUUCUUGUAAUUUCCCAUAUACAUAAGCUUGCAUGUAGUGCUGCAUAAAUGCAUAUAUGUUAUCUCACACACAUAUUUAUUUGCUCUUUAGAGAAGUGUCUUGCUAGUUGUUGUUUAGCUUCUGCUUCCCUCUCUUUUCUCCUUGCAUUCGCUUGGCACCCCUCCAGGGCAUUGAAUUCUUGUUAGUGACCUAAAAUGUAUUUGUAUAUUUCUCCCCUUGUUUAUAUAAUCAUAUAUACACAUUUUUCAUUUAAUCAUAUGUACACAUUUUUCACUUAAUCAUAUACACAUUUUUCAUUUACAUGUAUGGUGAAGGUUUGGUUACUAUUAGUACCCAACAAUGUAUAUUCUCUGCAUUUUUUUUUUAAUUUUAAAGUGGAACUUAACAGAAAUCCUUCUUAAGCAACUAUUUUGCUCUCAUGAGUCUCUUUGGAGUGGCUGCUACUCAUCCAUGCUUGGAUACUGUGUCCCUCUCCUUUCCAUGCUCUAAAGCCACUCCCACAAAGUGUUCUUUUACACAGGCCUUAUGUUCUGUUGAUUUGUGGGAGGAACUGAGGAGAGAAACUUGAGGGAUAAAUGGCACAUGCAUUUUUGUUAAAUAUAUGUUAGUGAUUUUCCAUAACUAUUUUUACAUUUAAAAUAUUCUCAGCAAUCAUUUCUCUACAUAAAUAUGAUCAAGAGAGGUUAUUGAUUAUUUCAGUUUUUACUAGAUAGCUAUACAUCAUUAUUACUUUAAUUUACAGCUCCCUGACUAUGAUAUAACGCGCGCCAUUUUUCUUCUGUUUGUAGCCAUUUGGGUUUGCUCCUCUGUGCAUUUCCUAUUCUAAUUCUUCAUUCCUUUUUUAUUUAUUUAUUUUUAGUUUGUUGCUAUGGAUUAAAUGAGUGAAAGGAAGUUCUUGGGUCAGAAAAUUAAUCCCCAAUGCAGAAGUGUUGGGAGACAGGCCAAAUGGGAGGUUUUUAAAUCAAGAAGUAUCUGCCUUCAUAAAUGGAUUUAUGUCAUUAUUGCAAGAAUGGGUUUGCUUUAAAAGUGACUUUGUCCCCCUUUGGUCCUCUCCUGCUCCUUCUGUCUUCCACCAUGGGAUGAAGCAGUCAAUCACCUGUUACCAGCACUUGAUAUUGAAAUUCCAGCCUCCAAAAAGAGUAGAUUUCUAUUGUUUAUAAGUUAUCCAGUCUGUGGUUUUCCGUCAUAGGUGCAGAAAGCAAACUAAGACAGUUCAUCGUCUUUGUUUUUGUCAAUUUGUAAAGAACAAUAAAUAAAUAAAUAAAAGCUUAGUGUCAUCUCUGCUACAAAUAUUUCCAAUCUUAUCAUUUGUCUGUUGACUU